rnacentral:lncRNA from 1 species
UACGACAAGUAUAGAUAAAAAAUUAAUAAAAUACCAUGUUAUAAAGACAAAGAAUAAAUACAUGCAUCAGAUGAGAUCAAAAUACUGCCCCAUAUGCUGCAUCCAAUGUUCUUUUCAUCAAGUUCUCGUCUCCUUGAUGAAUCAAUGAUCAUCAAUUUACUCAAUCCUCCCACGACUUGCAAAACACAUCUGCUAGUAUUAGAAUUUGAAAUAUACAGAAUAUUAAGCAUGAAAAGUUGGACAAAUUAAAUAAGUUAGCUUGUACCUUUUUCUAACCGAAUGAUAUAUAUUUGGUGCUUCCCAGCCUCUUAACUGAAGAUUGACCCGCAGAUGCCAUGUCUAUUUCUCCCUGGCAGCAACUUCAACAGGUCAGCAGCAAGGAAACUGCAUUCUUUAGCAAAUUAUAGUUGCGUACAGCAAAGGCCAUGGCCCGGUGCCCAGCAGCAGCUAGCAAGCACGCACACGAGCACACCACAAGUACGUACACACAGACACACACAGCAACAGGCACGCACGCCGCACGCGGAAGCAAGAGCACACACAGCCAACACACAAGCAAACGCGGGAGGACCGGACGCGAGGAUAGCAGGGAAUGGAGAAGGUGGACGGGAUACCUUGAUGGCGGCGUCGGAGACUCCAAGCACCAGCGAGACAAAUCCAUGGGGCGGUUCCAAACGCUAGCGAGCGAAUCCAGGUAGUGGCGGCAGUGGCAGCAACUCCGCAGCGUACUCGUACGGUCACUGGCGAAUCCUACAUCAAAUCUGCUGCACAACAAAUUGUGUGAGAGAGUAAUGGCUGACCAAAUCGCCGAGCAGCCAAAAAAGAACCACGACACGCGUGCGGAGCGGCACCAUAAAACACCAGAUGAAGAACGAAAGAAAUCACGGCUAGCCGAACAGCCAAGACCAGCCACACGUAGAGAGAGAGUCGGGCUGUAGGCUGGCGACCCGAACGACGGCGGACGGCCGUGCACCCUACCAGCAGACUCCCGCCGGGGCCGUGGGUGUUACCGUCCAUCAGCGACCUGUACCACCUCGCCGGCGCCCUCCCGCACCGUAACAGAGACCAAACGAACAGGAAGGACACAA